AGGACGAACGCUGGCGGCGUGCUUAACACAUGCAAGUCGAACGGAAAGGCCCCUUUCGGGGGGUGCUCGAGUGGCGAACGGGUGAGUAACACGUGGGUGAUCUGCCCUGCACUCUGGGAUAAGCUUGGGAAACUGGGUCUAAUACCGGAUAGGACCAUGGGAUGCAUGUCUUGUGGUGGAAAGCUUUUGCGGUGUGGGAUGGGCCCGCGGCCUAUCAGCUUGUUGGUGGGGUGAUGGCCUACCAAGGCGACGACGGGUAGUCGGCCUGAGAGGGUGUCCGGCCACACUGGGACUGAGAUACGGCCCAGACUCCUACGGGAGGCAGCAGUGGGGAAUAUUGCACAAUGGGCGCAAGCCUGAUGCAGCGACGCCGCGUGGGGAUGACGGCCUUCGGUUGUAACCUCUUCAGUAUCGGCGAAGUUCCCGGGUUUCGUCGGGGUGACGGUAGGUACGAGAAGAAGCACCGGCCAACUACGCGCCAGCAGCCGCGGU
rnacentral:rRNA from 1 species